rnacentral:rRNA from 1 species
UUGGAGGGCAAGUCUGGUGCCAGCAGCCGCGGUAAUUCCAGCUCCAAUAGCGUAUAUUAAAGUUGUUGCAGUUAAAAAGCUCGUAGUUGAACUUCGGGGUUUACUCAUUGGUCAGGCUUAAUUGUCUGCACUGGUGAGAUGAAUCUCUACCUUCUGAGGAACUUUCAUGUCACUUAUUUGGUGUGAUUGGAAAUCAGGACUGUUACUUUGAAAAAAUUAGAGUGUUUAAAGCAGGCUAACGUCUGAAUACAUUAGCAUGGAAUAAUGAAAUAGGACGGACUGAUUCUAUUUCGUUGGUUUCUAGGAUCACCGUAAUGAUUAAUAGGGAUAGUUGGGGGCAUUAGUAUUCAAUUGUCAGAGGUGAAAUUCUUGGAUUUAUUGAAGACUAACUACUGCGAAAGCAUUUGCCAAGGAUGUUUUCAUUAAUCAAGAACGAAAGUUAGGGGAUCGAAGACGAUCAGAUACCGUCGUAGUCUUAACCAUAAACUAUGCCGACUAGGGAUCGGACGAAGUUAAUUUUAUAAUGACGCGUUCGGCGCCUUACGGGAAAC